GUAGGAGGCUCCUUUUAACGCCACGGAUAUAUGCGCCGUUCGAACGUUACCGCGUCAAGCUUCUUCGCAAGACGGUCUACUACCAUCAUCGUGCGUUCUCCGUCGUCAGUUUCUCGUUCUACUCUUCUCGUAUCUACGAUCCCAUUCGUUAUUUUCUUUUUCUUUUUAUCGUUGUAAUUUUCGUACAACGAUGAUCGGCGCAGGCCGGUGACUUAAAUCGACACGAAUACGAACACACCCCCCUCCGGGUGACGUAUCGUCGUGAUGUUACUCGGCUUAUGCGGUGAGAUCUACUUGCUAGACGUAAAAGGUGUCUUUAAUUUUUCGUAUUCGCUCGCGGUGUUCAGUAAUUUCGUAGCCAGGUUGUUGGGACGAUUCUUCAGCCGUUGUUGAUACAACCCGCUGUGUCUGCUGAUUUCUUCGUUUACGAUUUCCAGCGCAAAUACCGCGUCAGAUACGACAUAAACGAGAAAAGAAGCGAACAACGAGACCAGCCCCGACGGUAUUCGGGAUAAAGAGCAUUCGUAAGCUGUCGCUUAAGAAGUCAAACCCUUGGAAUACGCGUGUCCGCGGAUAUUACCACUCCCACGUGACGAGUAGCAACUGCGGCGUGAGAACAAGAAUACCCCGGGAUAGCGGCACUUGUUGAUGAUGUUACGUCGUGUCAAAGGAAAAUGAGACUCGCUCUUGUGCUCCUCCGUCCGCGCAGCCCCUUUCAGACCACUCGGAAAUCCUCUGCAUUCCGCGAGACCGUCAAUGGCGAUACGUCGUGCGCUAUCGCGAUGCAGCAACGAGAAACGAGAAGCUAUCGUGCUGACGAGCGUUCGGCAAGAUGAAAGAAGCACGCGGAAGGUCGAGCUCGUUAAUCGCCAUUUCUCGUAGAUACGUGACUUUGUCGACUGGACGUUUCGCUCGUGUUCGCUGAGACGGUAUAAGGACGAAGAAGAAGAACGUAAGACGAACGAACGAACGAACGAACGAACGUACAACGGUUGGUACGGUGGGUCGAUAAUACGAUCGUAAAUUUCGAAACUUUUUGGUUAAAUAUUUUGCUAAUCUAAAAAAUUUCCAUCCGAUCUUACCGCUAUAAAAGUUUCGUAAUUUGCCGAGCAUCGUUACCGAACAGAUGCCGACGUUAAACGUUAAACGCUUGGUGGAAAUGGCAAGUUUGAAGGGGGCAAGGAAAUUGUUUUAAAAGCUACUUAUCUCUGAUAAGCUUUUCAGGUAUUCUGGGUCAGGGACGGUGAAUCGAGUAAGCAGACGCUUAUUUCGACGAACGUAUUCGACACCCUUACCCUCUGUUCGAUAGGAAUGCAAAGCGAGCUUCGAAAUGAACCGCAUCCCAGCAUCAAAGUGAAUCUACCGUCCUGAAUAAUUUGCAGCUUCCAGGGAACAAGUUCGAGAUCUUACGAUCGCUGUUUCAGUGACAGCUAAGGGAGAAAGAUGUUUCUUCUCGGCGAAAGAAAGCGGAGCUCGGCCACGGAUGGAAUUUACGAAUUAAUUUCGAUGUAACACCAACGCUAUCGAUUCCGUCUCGCGAGAGACACCUACGUUCGGCAAUGGGAACGGCCGCGUUCGAAGAAAACAUUGGCAGGGAACUACGAAGGACGUCGGGCGUCAAGCACACAAUGGACGGUUGGCUUUUCGCGAUACAUUAAAAAACGAUCUGCCGAUGGCGCUUUUACGCGCGGCGCGUUCGCUUUAACACCGCCGUUAACCCGGCUAAUAGGUAGUCGCUCGCAUUCCGGUGCUCUUCGGUGCUCGUCCUAUCUCGCCAAAGUCCAAUUUGGUCCUGAUAACUAAACUGUGGCCGCGUUCCGUCAAUACGCAGCGAGACGGAAAUCGUAUUUCGAUCGAACCGCCGGUCUAGGCUGCUCGUUGGCAAGAAGGCAAAGCCGGGGCAAAGAGAAAGACAGAGAAAGCUAUAAAAGAAAAAGAAAGAACGAGAAAGUGAUCGAAGAGGACUCUAUAAAAAUGGCCUGGCGAACGCCAUCGAGCUAGUGGAAAUCCAUAGGUAGAUACGCUACCCCGUCGAUAUGGCGCACACAACUUGCACGGACACAAUCGCCUUCCAACUGUCGGUGUGUGUACGUGUUUUACGAUGGAACAGGAGGCGGUGCACGCGCGCACACGUUCACGCGCAAAAACCUGUACACACAGAAUCGCCGCACCCUUUGUGCUAAAAUUAGAAGUGACGAAGCGUAUACAUACUCACUUCGCUGGCUUCGAGCUUUUAUUCACUGGCGUUUAGACAUAACGUGUUGCAGGGCUUUCAAUGGCAUCGACGGAGGUGAUCAAACCGCCAGUUGGAGGAAGAGAGGAGUCGUAUUCGUGCAUAGGGAUUUCCAGAUGACAGAGAGAAAGAGAGAAAGAGAGAGAGAGAGAGAGAGAGAGAGAGAGAGGGAGAGACGAAGGAACACGUAGUUAGAUCGAACCGAUGAUACGGAAAGGGGGAGAGGAUAGAUCGUGAUAAAAAAAGCAAAAAGAGGGAAUACGGAGGAUCUUUGAUGGAGAGGGAUGCAAGCGAUAAUGGCGGAUAGAUAAACCGGGUUAAAGGGAAAAGGAUGGAGGAGAAACGCGAAAGCAAAUACGGCCCGGUCUAAUCUCUGGGAAACGUUCGAGUGGGCGGAAAUUUGCGUUUACGCGCGUGCAGGUGGAUAGAGAGAGGUGGGACGAGAUUUUUCGGACACACGAGAAUCGCGUAAACAUUAUCGGCGAAUAGAAAUUUUAAUUGGAACGUUAUAUCGCGAUAAAGUUGCAUAAAUAACGAUAAAUUUGAAGGUCCGAAACGCGUACGGCUAUACAACGAUUCGUUUUCUCUCGCAGUCCAGCGUGAAACGAGCUCGUCUUUGACUUUGUUCCAACGAGUUGCGCGUUAUGCUUCCUCGAUGGCCGAUAAAGGCUGGCUGAUAGAAAAUUGCAAGAUUUUGCGCCUGACGUUCGACCGUUCCUUGUUCGCGGUUCAACGAGAAAUCGCAUUGGGAAUUUCGCCUGAGAAAGAAAUUUCUGAUACAACGCUCAUACAAUUUCCGAUCUCGUUUCCUUUUGUUCCAUCCACAAUUUCUGUAUCGUGUGAGAUUCUCGCGUUCGUACGAAGCUGCAUCGCCGGACGAAUUUCAACGCGUUCGGACGUUCGACGUUAUCCGUUCGUCUUCUUCGACUUGUAACGGAUUCGACGGGACGUCUUCCCUUCCACGAGUCAAGGUAUUUAGAAUUUAUAUUCGGGCGGCAUUCGUUUCAGCAAGGCGUAAGAGAGAAAACGCGCGCUGCUUUUAACGUUCGGUAUUUACAGAAAUCGUACGAAAAUUUGAUCGCGUUGCGUUUACGAUACGUCGUUCGAUAAUUUCGUUAGAAUUAUCCGGAUUAUUUUGCGCGAUAAUUCACUAGCUAAUAACAUUGGCGAAUUGACAAGCGACGAGCCGUAGAUUAUGGAUGACCGUUACGUAAGCAGCUUUUACAAUUUUACAAUUUGACACGGAACAGGAAAAUCAGUUAUCCGAUAAUUUAUAAAAUUCGCUCCUGCAACUUGCCUUAUUACCCGAACGUACGUUACGUAAGAGAAUAAUUAUCCUUACCUAAGAGAAUUUAUUAGCAAUGAUUCGUCAAAUUUCGCUGAUAAAGUUAGCUUAAAAAUAGAAACGUUUGCAUUCCGAAGAUCUUUCGCCGAUCGAUUAUCGAUUAAAAUGGAAAUUCUUUCCGUUCCGAUACGCUCGAUCGUUGCGACCAUUUUCUUUUCUUCUCUCUUUUUUUACGCAAUUUCCUUCUUAAACGGCUCGCAACGUAUCUCGCGCACUUUAUUGCCACGAACAUCGUGGAAAGAAUUACGCGAUAUCCCGAAAGAACCGUGCAAUUUUCUAUUUUUAUCGAUUUUCCUUGGUACACAAAGUAACAAAUCUAUGUAACCUACUUUACUUGUUCGCGGCCAUUAAUGCACUGACAUUUACCAAGCGUACAAUCAAGAUAAUCCGAUAUUUAAUGAAACUUUCUUUCGAUAUUCUACGUAUCGUCGGUUCGCUGGAACAACGACGCAACCAACGAAACUAGAUCGUUCGAAUCAGCGGAUCGCUUUCGAAUGAUUUUCGAUAGAAAAUUAUUCUACAAUUAUAUUUCCGCGACUGUCGAUUUGUUUGAAGUGCAGAAAUAGCCUGGCGGAUUAGAGCCGAAUUGUCCGAAUGAUUAACGAAGCAAUUGAAACCGGUGUUUAAACGGUAAUCAAGAACGAAGCGGAGAAUUUCUUCGAAAUUUAACUGGUUAUAACCGGGCGACACGAAGUUAACAAUUCGCAGUGCCUAACCGCUCUCGUUAAUUAUUCCGCGUUUCUACAUUCGUCUUACUAAUUAGUAAUUAGCCUCUGUUGCCAAGGAUUUUCGCGUUGAUGGGAUCUGUCGCGUUUACCGGAAAACAUGCACGUGUCUUUCCAAUUAACAUUAUCCGUCGCAUCUGGAAACAAUCGCGUCGCUCACGUCCGUAUUCGUCGCUACGCUUUAAAUUUUCCAACGGGUGGACGACACAAUUUCCAGCAGACGUUCGAGCGACGAAUCGGGAACGAAGGAAAUUUUUAAGGUAAGACAGGGGAUGAUGGCAUACGUAAAAAUAGAAGAACGAGCGCUGCUAUCGAUUGCACGUUUAUGGACGCUAUUAUCGUCGAAUUUAUUAUUUACAACGAUGGUUCGCUUCUUAUCAGAAACGCUCGUGCUCUUUCCAUCUUCGAUUUUACGCUCCGCAAACGAUUGUUUAUCGUGUUUGUAAAUUUAUCUUCUCGCGAGUUUAUCAAGCUUUUUGAAAUAUUUAGAAAAUACCUGGUUUACUUUUUGCUAUCAUUUUCGAAGAAAUCGAUCAGAGCGAGCCGGUCGUAAUUUCCGAAAUAUAUAAUUUUGUUUCUCGAUAUAAAACGUCGAAACUAUUACACCGCUCUUCCAUUUAUUCGUAGAACGUGGAAAAUAAAUUUCCUUCGUAAAUAUCUCAUUUUUACGGAUCUUUUGCCAAUUGUAAAAACACACGGCGGUUCUUUUUAUCACGACGCGUAGCCGUAAUCGAAGCAAAUGUUUCGCCAAUUUCUUUUUUUUGUAGAUCGUACGUAGUUGCGAAAGAGCAUCGGGAUUAACGUAUUGACUCUGUUCAUCGACGUGAAAGACGAAAAUUUCGUCGUUAGUAUGCGUAGCCGUUCGUAGGCGAUGCAAUUACCCGCAUACCGGCUGAUUCAAAAAUAUUGCGCGCGUGAAUAGCUUUGUAUAGGGAGAAAUGCCUGUAAUCAACGAUCAUCGCGCCAGGAAGUUAUCAAUGGGGCGAAUUUGACGCUGUAAUCGGUUAUUCGUAAGUAGAAUUUUCCUGGUAAACCGAAAUCCAUCUGAAAACAAGCGUUCGCAUCCUGUAGAACGAUUCUAAUUCUUCUACUUUAAUUUAUAAUUUAAUUUAUAAAGGACAAAUAACGGUUAUAAUUGGACCGUAGAUGUUUAUGCAUUUAUGGCGAUUUAUCGUAUAUAUACAUUUAUUGGAACGAGAAAUUUCGGCAAAUUUUCCUCUAUCUUUGUAUUUCGUGUUACGAGCUGUACGAUCGAUGGAAACCAGCUACUUGGAAAAUAGAUUUCUUCGUGAAAAAUUAUUCUAUUAUUUUCGUCGAUGUUGCUUCGCUUCUGUAUACGUAACAUAUAAAUUAUUGCGCGAUUCGUAUCAUAUCGCAAUUCAUAUCAUACGUGUACACCGUAGAAAGUGGAAUAUGGCUGGGACAAUAAUUACGUUUCAAUCUUAUCCGGCUGAAUGCCGCCUGGUUUAACGUCACCGUUCCGAUACAAAUAAAAUUACACCGAUUGGCGCAACAGUAACGAUAUCGGUUUCGAAAUUCGAAAAGCCCGCCAGAAAACCUGCGUUUCGCGUUAUCCAUAUAGCGACAGUUGCCGCGUCGCGCCAGUUAUGAAACGAGAACGAAGAAGAAGCAUUUAUUUUAACGCGGAGGAGAUUUCGUUUGUUCGAAGCUUGAGUUUAAAAUUCGAAUUUAAACGGUAGCACCCAUUAACCACGCCUACGAGUUUUUAUGUUUCAACUUUACUCUUGCUACGAUAAAUAAAAUACUUUACAGCGACGCUUCAAAAUCCGCACUUAACGCUUUUGUUUUUCAAGUAACAAACGAUGGAAACGCGGUAUUGUUAGAACAGGCAAAGAAUAAACAAGUUUGUACCGAAGCAAUAAGAACGGAGAAAAAUGAAUAGCAUAAAAUGAACUUGGUUAUGUACUGUUGGAAAUAAACGUCGCUCCGAUGCGCGAUAUAUGUGAUAGGAAAAUCAUCGCCGGCCAUCUCAACCUAUAUUUUCGAUAUUUAAGAUACACGAUCGAGCAACGCGUGUACAUAUUUUCAAAUUUCGCUGCUACGCGCGUAUGCUUAGAUCGUUCGAUCGUUAGUUGGUACGUGUACCUACGGUAGAUCGCGCUGCAGCAUAGCGCAAGUUGGACAAUUCGUUGGUACAUACGUACACGUUACGUUCGGAGAAUAUUUCAACAGAGCCGUAUAUGUGUCGUACAUAGUUGCGAAGAAUAUCGGAACGUUCGUCGUAUUAUCGCAUCUUUAUAUUUUGUACGAUUACGCGGAUGAUACGACGCCUCGCCGAGUCAAAAAUCGUAUAAUCCCGAAGUUUAUUUCCUUCGCUAUGUAUCUUCUUACAACUUUAUCGUUAACUCGUUUAUCGAAGUUUUGUCAAUUUUUAUUCACGUUUAUCAAAUAGAUAAUUAUCGAUGUCUUGGGUGUGAAUAAUUUUGAUGUAAUUUUAACAGGAACUUUUAUCGAUCUUGUCUACGUGUUAACGCGCGCCGAUAAAACGUAGUCUUAGUUCAACGGCUCGUUACGAGAUGGCGGUAUCGAAUUUGCUCGACCGUGUAAUAUUGAUUUUUAAUACUUUGAUUUUAACGCUAAAUGAGACGUCGUAAGAACGACAAAUGUAAAUCGCGUUCGUAUUCUAAUUGUAAGAACGCGUUAUUACACGUAAACGCUUGUCCUUAAUUUUCAAGUCGCUCGAUAAACUUUGCCGUUAAGUCGUUGAGACUAAAGCGAAGCAUACGGCGAAACGUCGGAAUUGGAAUUUCAUUUCGAUAGGUCGAGAGGCGGUUCAGGCGUUGAGAUCAAGGGACGAAUUCGAUCGAUCGAACUUCAAUAAGACAUUUUAUUUCUCUCGUUUAACACAACUGUGUGACGCACGUGUUGUCGUUCCUGCUGUUAUUGUUGUUGUCGUUUUUUAUGUACAGAAAAAUCAGCUCGAUAUACAAAGGAUGUCUGCGACGCGACACGGUGAAAAUAAAAUCGUAGAAAAACGUUACACGCUACACGAUUCGGAGGAAUUGCGAGGACGUGGUGUGUGUCGUCUGUCCUAAAAAACGGGCGACAGAAUGAACGAACGUUUCGUGUUUUCGCCACGCGCGCUACGCGCGUCUAACGCCUAAGCGUGCGCGCGCGGCGUCCUACUAUCGAAUUAUUUCGCCGCAGCGCAGUUUAUUAAUUCGCGACGAUCGAUAUUACAAUUAGUCCUUCAAAGUGAAUGCUCAAAGGCAAUGCGCCCGCUUCGAUUAUGCAUAAAGUAAUCCAAUAACUUGGUUGCAAUUUAAUGGCGCACGUUCCACCGGAUGUCCUACAUACAAAGUAUUAUAAAUAAGAUCGUCCUUGCAACGCAAUCGAACGACGCGUUCUAUUCGUACGACGUAUAAGCUACACGCGCUCUUACGGAAUUCAUCGUACAGCCGAAGCAUCGGAAAAAGCGACGCGCUACGUUCAACGAUCCGAGACAGGUUUGCGGAAUCGCGUUUGCAGAUAAUCGACCGACGAUGGGUCGAUCGCAGCGACGAUCGUUUCGAUUCCAUUCUCGUUCUUCUUUCCAUCUUUCUCGACCAUUCGGAUCUCGUCGCUUGGUUAGGUAUCACCGCGUAACUUACGUAACUCUAUGAAGAAGGAUAUAUAUAUAUAGUAUAUAUAGUAUAUCUCGUUCGUUAUAAAAUUCAUACAGAAUACGCUCUUCGACAACGACAAACAUGGAAUUACAUGGUCUGCGCUGAUUUUAGACGUAUUUACAACGAAAGUAAUCGCACACGCGACAUCCACGCUUUCGUGACCGCUGGCGAUUUUCGCGAAGAGAAUCGCCGAUCGUCGACGCAUCGUCGUCCGAUUCGUCCGGCUCGUAGAAACGAGCGCGCCUUAUCUUUCCUAGUUGGACGAAGAUGGAGACACCGUAAUUUCGUUCGUUUCGCGUAACGAACGACGCUACCACGAGAAUUGAAAUCGACGUGUACGCGCCAACGUGACUAUUCCGCCGAUCGUUCGACGAUGCGUUUAGCAGCAGCGAUAAUUGCGAUUUAAACGAAACGUUGUAUUCGGCAUUUAGCGAGAUAACUUCAUGGUCGCAGUAGCUGGUAAAAUAUAUUCUCAUCGAAUCGUCUACGGAGAAGAAAAGACACGACUAAGCUGAAGGUUAUUUUCGCCAGCAGCCACUUAAAUCGACGUAACGCGGUCGAACGGCCGCUUAACUAGAAAUUCAUGGGAAAUUGCCACCGGCGAAAUUUCGCGUCCGUAGGCGAGCGGUCACGCAAGUGUUAAUAUCGUAGGCGAUGCGAUAUUAGGAGACUUGGCUUCCCUUGGCGGCAGUUCGUGCUAUAUACACAGGCUUUAAAGUUACGAGCUAUACAUCUGAACGCAGAAUCCUCGUACGAUGGUACGAUCCUGUACCAGCAACCCUUUUUGCCAGCUAUACAAAAUAAUUAUCGGCCGUCGCUCGUUCCCGAAGCGUCUCGAAUUUAUCCUACGAUCGAUAUGUUCGAAUCGAUGGAAUUUCAAGCGUAGCAAACGUAGUAUCCUUUGUAACGAUAAUUUCGUCGCUAAGCUUCGCGUUUCACGUAUUCCGACUGAUCACUUUAACCGCCACGGUGGUCGUUGAUGACCGGAGCGCUCGAGCUUUUUACGAUUGUAAAAAUCGAACGAAAAUUUAUAGUUGGGACAUUUCCAAUAUAAUCGACAAAUAGAAGAUACCUUGAAAUAUAAAGCGGCCCCAUUGAACGAUCAAACGUUUUUAUUAGAACAUCGAUAAAAAAGAAAAGAGAAUAAAUUUCGCAUCUAACGGUGUACCGUGUUGAAACACUGUGGCGUUCCGAGAGGAAACACGCGAUUUCGGCGUGGCAGUCAAAGCGUUCGUAGGAAACGCUUCAUCUUACAUCCGAAAGCUGUGUCUCUUUCUUCCGAUUGAACCAUAUAUGAUAUAAUCAGAUUUGUGACGAUUGAUACAACGUGGAGUAAAUUUGAAAGCAUUCGGAAACAAGCUGCGCAACGAUGAAACGUGGCAACAGAAUCUCGGAUACUCGUUUGUUGUACGGCCUGCGGUCGAUCGUUGUCGAUUUACACGCAACUGCGCGACGAAAUAAUAUUUUACCAAAGCAUGCACGCCUGUCGAUAUCCGACUGUCCGACGAGCUACCCUCGCAAACGAUAUUGACUGCCUUCGUCAUUGUACGGUGGAAAUGAGUCUAGCACAAAAUAUAUCAUAUGUAUGUAUACAUAUAUUUUAUCGUCGAUAAUUGCGUCGGAGGCGGACAGCCGCGCCCCGACGCCAUCGGGCCGUCGCGUCGUGGCCCGGCCGUAAUUAAAUCGUGUACAGAUUAUAGAAUAAAAGCUUUCGUAAAGAAUACGGUAAAUAUUCAUCGAAUAAACUUGUGUAAAAUUUGAAUACAAAUUAGGAGUACGCGAGCCGAACGUUUCGCGCGCAGGAUCGAUCGUUGCGAAGUUGCAGAUUAGAAUCUUCCGUUUCAACGACCACGAGUCGACGGAUCUCGUUUUACGUUAGAAACGAAUGGAAACGGAGAUUACUUUGAUUCGGAAAGAAUCGACCAUCGACGAUACACGCUACCUCUAACGUAGAACUUUUAAUCCAUUGCUUACCAAUUUUCUUUCUGAGAUUUUUAUACGACUCUUUAGAUUUUUAUUAAUUUUCGAUUUUUAACUCUUGCAUUCGUAACUUCUAAUCGAGGAUACGAUCGACGGUUGAAAAUUUAUACGAAACGAGAUUAUUACGAAGUAAAUAACGCGAUCGAUAAAAUUAACGUUUCGUGGAAUAAAAUUUUCGCAGAACAAUCGAUCCUGCUCGCUCCUUUAUCGGCUUAUUUUCUAUCUUUCCCCCUUUCUAUUUAAUACGUAUCGUUAAUCGUUAAUCGUUAAUCGUUAAUCGUUAACGGUAUCCUUAAAUUCUUCGUAUUAUUGUAUAUAUUUAGUUCGGAAGAUAAUACGGAUGUUUAUUUUAUCGCUCCACGUACGUAUUCGGAUAUUUCCGUCUGUUUUGUCGCGUUUACGUCCCGCUGUCGUUCCUUCUCGUCCUGUCCGGACGGAAGAAACGGAGCUGAUAGGACGUUUCCGAUAUACCUACAUAUACAUAUAUAUAUAUAUUUCUUUUUCAUUCCUCGCUUCGUCUCAACUUUAUACUCGAACGUCGAUUCGCGUAGCACAAAAUAUCUCGAGUGGAAAAUUCGAAAUUGCAGCUUCUGCGCUGGAGAAAAAUUUCGUCUUACGGACACCUCUCUGCCUCGCGAAUUUUAACGAUCUUAUCUCCGGUUUUAGCUUACCUUAAUUCGUACAAGGAAACUGAAAAUUCUCGCUAAUCAUCGACAGAUACGUUACCCGUUCGCAAACGGGUAGAGAAUUUUGAUCUUUCGCUGGGAAGUUCAACGAAAGCGAAAGAACGAAAGGUGCGAAAAGCACGUUGAUCGUAAAAAGAGGAAAGAAUCGCUAAGCGGUAACCUCGUAGUAUUACCGGCGUCAUCGAAGCAUUAAAUUAUCUGCACACUGUUUUUUUUAAUAUUUAUUUCUUUAUUUUACAUUGUCAUGCGAUUUCCGCGUAAACUUAUAAAUGGAUAUUAUUGUGCCAUGCGAACGCGAUCCUCAUCGAAUAUCCUGACUCAGCCCUCGUGUUAUUUUCGUUUCCUUGGUACAGCUUAAUCCUAAAACACGACGAGUCGUGAUUCGUUCGCACCGCAUCGAACGUCGCAAAUUUCGUUACAUCUUCUCUAUUUUUUCCCCCCCUUCUCAUCGUAUCUUUUUCCCUUCGCUUUUUCCUUUUUUUUUUUUCUUCUUUCCUUUUUUUAACAUCGUAAUAAUCGUAAUAUAUUUUCUAGGUAAGGAUUCUCUUAAGCGCAUGUACAGAGAUAAAACUUUCCUCUACGUUUUGAGCAUACCGCGCGGCUUCAUUUUUUAUUAUUUUUAUUUUUCUUAUCUCUUACUUUAUCAAUAUUUUACUUUAUUUAUUUUUAUCGCGUAUCCCCUUGGAUUUCCCGUUUUCUUUUCUCUUCUCGCGCAGACUGCACGCCGCCUGAACCAGCGAUAUUUCAUUUAAUAGGUAUCGUAGUAAUAUCUAAAACCACGUUUAAACGCCUAUGUGUGUGAAUCGAUUCAACGGCUAGUCUACGAGAGAGCCGAACGGCGUUUCAAAUAACAAAUACCGCGUUAGCCUGCAGAAAACUUCGGUUGCGUUUCGAUCCCGUUUCGCGUCGCAUCCGUGAAACAGCCUGAAUCGGUACAAAAGCGAGAGAAAUCCGCGGGGAAAACGAGCAGCAGCGUAAUCGUUGCUGCGAUUAUCUACAUUUAUCUUUGGCGAGAUCUCGCAACGAUUCGCAGCGUGUAGAAGAUAAAGAGAGAGAGAGAGAGAGAAAAAAAGGAAAGAAAAACAGAUUCCGACGCGAUUCCCGCGAUCGAACGAAACGUAGCUUUCCACCGGUCUAGUAAUUAUUAUUUGACCUACCAUUUCACUCGAUUUCGCUUCGCGAUUAGCGGCCUUUUCUCACCUAUGCUCCACGCGUGUACUCUUGUACGUACAGAUGUAUAUAUUUAUAUAUAUAUAUAAUGGUCGAUAGAUGCACCAGAUGCUAUUUCUCCUAUUCCUUUGUCUUGUCUUCCCUUAAAUUCUCGAAUCGUAACGAUUAGUCGUCAUUGUGCGUCGUUUCGAAUGACAUGACAAUGAUCGGUAUGAUGUGGAUAAAUCGCGCGAACUCGGAUCGAAUAGGCUAACGAGCGCUCUCGCGUUUUAUUUUUCCUUUUUAUAUUUUUCCCCGCACUCGUUCUCCUUUCGUUUUAUUUAUCUGUGCGAGUUUACGUUGACGCGCGAGCGUGUUCCUGCAAAGAGAAAGAAGGCGGACGAAGCUGGUUCACAGGGGGUGAGAAAGAUAUAUAUAUAUAUAUAUAUAUAGAGAGAGAGAGAGAGAGAGAGACGGGCGUAAAAACGAGGGAAAAGGGCGCGAUUCUCUUCUCGUCUGUUCGAAAACGACGAUCUCGAUUUAUGCUUACGACCAACUUUGUUCACCUUCUUUGCUCCUUUUUCGUUUUACGGCCUAACGAAUCGGCGAUCGAAAUGCCAGAGAAACGGAUCCUCCGCCGCGGGUCUCGUUAAACGUCGAGCGGCUGAGUUCCUUCGAUUUCGUCGCAUUCCCGCGAUAUGCCUAUUUCGUAAUAAUAAUGUACAUAUACAUACGUGGUAUUCGUAUAAAUGUAAACAAACGUGUCCUGCCGGGGACUGGCUGGCUUAUCCGUAACGGGCAGCGACGAUCGCGACGAACGUUCGACGAUCGAUCGAACGAAACGGUCGCGGCGGAACGUUCUAGCUGCGAAAUUAAAAAUAAUCCCAGCGAGUCGAUGGCCGAAGAUACGCGGUCCACGUCACCGUGUAACACCGAUCACAGUAAGUUCGCGUUGAUUAACGUGUCUCGCGAUAUUUCUCCGUUUUGCGAUCGAGAGACGACGAAGGACGAUACGAAAUCAAUGUCCCCGUCGUACACCGGGGCGAGUACGUUGCACAGAAAUAGGAACAGAGACGAAUAUGGGAACAGACUAUUUGCUUGCCCGUGUAACCUAAUUCAAUUCCUUUGUAUUUAGUUCGUUAUAAUAUAUCUAUAUAUAUAUAUAUAUAUAUAAUAAAUUCCCUUAAAAGUAUUACAAUUUUUUUUCUCUAUCAACGCUUCGCGCUAUCAACCGUGUUUGAUAUAUGUAUAGUUUAACGUUACGAGUUUCAUCGAGCGUUCCGUAGCGUUCCGUAGCGUUCCGUAGCGUUCCGUAACGUUCCGUAACGUUCAGGACAUUCCGUACGCGAAGCCGGACAUCUUUUACGUUUCUCCCUUUUACACGGUAUCCUGUAUAAUUUUUCAUUCUCGCCAAGUGUACGCACGCGUGUGUAUGUAACGUACGUAUAUUUUUCUUAGUUAACUGUACGUCGUUCAUAGAGUUCGUAUUUAUAUAACGUUGUCUCCUAAGCACACCGCCUAUUUAUAUAUUUAUACGUGAUGAAUAUACAUGGAUCUAUUCAUACGCGCUCGCGUCUAUAUUUAUACGUUUAUGUGUAUUCGCGGGGCCGAAGCAUGCGUAUAUGUAUAUGCAUGUUUGUUAUUAAUACGAUGCGCUUUACAAUAACUCUUUCUUCUUUCUUUUUUCUUUUGUAUUUGCGUCCGCUUGAAACGAAAUCGCUCAAACGCGUAACAAGUACUUUAACGACCACGCGCUCUGACUCUUGCACGCUGAUCGCCACGCCAUCCGAGAUCCAAACGCAUCCACGUCUGCCCGAGGCUAACCGAAAGCAGCGCAACGAACCACAGGCAACCGUAAAUCGUGGACAGACUUUGAUAAAAUCCGCCGUGAGAAUUUUUCUAGCGUUUGACAGCGAUGAAAAGAUGAUCGAUCGUACAUCGGCGAAAGUGGUUCGCCACUUUUCGCGGACUUUGCAAUUCUUUCGCCACGCCGUGAAAGCGUAAUGAAUUUACGAAUCGUCAAGAAUGGCGAUUUUUAGCAAUCGUCGCAACGACAAGUACGAUCGAUCGAUGGAAAAGAAGAUUACAAUUUGGAAACGAGGUAUUCGUUCGAGGCAAUCUUUGUCACUGCUUCCGAUCGCCGCCCUUAAUCUCAAAGUCGAUUCUAUCGUUGGAAAGACAUCGCGGGAAUAUACGUAGGGAAUAUUUCGGAACGCCUGACGCUUUGAAAGAUACGAAAAUCUCGUUAAGAACGUUUUCAGAAGCAAAUACGAGGAAAGCUUUCAACCGUACGACGUUAAAAUAAUUCUUUAGUCGCUGAACGAUGUAAAGGUGGGAAAAUGAACGAAGAUGGAAUUAUCGCGUUCUUCCCGUUUCGUCUUCGCUCGCUCUUUCAUCACCUAUCACCGAAUUACUGGUAGGAACUAGAACGAAGGUUUCCUCGAUUGUCGACGGCGUUCCAAGCACGUGCAACGACGAAAGGUUCACGCUCUGCAUCUUCGGUAUCGACUCGAAAUUGCCUGUAACCCGGUCAAUUAGACGACGAUUGGCAAUUUCCACGUUAAGCCUCGCUGUUUCCGCUAUCAGGCCCGCCUUCGUUCGUCGAGCAUACCUGUUCGUAAUUGACAACGUUUAGCCACGAACGAAGACGCGUUAGAUUCUGCCACGUAACGCAAAACCAUUGUUCUCGCCAUUUGUGCCGCACGUUCGUCCCGUAGCUCUAAAUUUAACCGUAGAAAAGUGGAGUAGUUUUCCGAAUCUAGCGAGAAAUCAAGUUUUCUGCUCAUCCUAUUUACGAUAUUAACGAUUUCGUUAACCGAAGUCUGUAAAGAAUCACAACGCGUCGGUUUACCACUAGUCAAUUUUUCUAAAACGUAUUCAAAGGAUAGCUACAAACUGUCGAACGAUCUACGAUACUAUGCUCGUGCUUGGAAUUCCCUUUUUAUACUUAUAGCUUGUUUUUACAAAUAAUUCAAUCUCGACCAAAGUACAUUUACGAUCGCCAGCGUGGUGCAACGUCUCCCUCUAACCCUACAAUUUUGAUGAUCCUGUGUUCGGUUUAAAACGGCCGCUUCGGUUUUACCAGCGAGUCCGUAGAUCGCGGAUCUCAGUUGGAAAGUUAAAGAUGCAGAAACGGACAGAAUGCGUACGAUAUAUAAAAAUAUACGAAAUAUCCAAAGUAGGGUACUCGUUGUAAUUUAUAAUACGAGGAAAAACGAAUUUCUAUUUCACUUGCGUUUCUCUGGUCGCGUCCGUAAAAGUAUGUCCAUUGAUCGGCGUAGGAAAAAUGUAAAAAGAAAAAAAAGAAAAAACGGAAGCGGAGAGCUUGCGUAAAGAACAGUGUUUUAAACGCGGUUUCAUCCGACGGGAGGACAGAAAGUGCACGGUAGACGCGGAUGAUUUUGAUCAGCCGGCCAGCCGACUGGAAAUACGGUUGACCGCGCGCACCGGUCGGACUAUCGAAUUCAUUCGUUAAUCGUAGUUGAAUUAUGGCUUGAACGGGUCUAAAUCGGAUCAAACGGUGCCAUUUCGCAUUAUGUUUUCCGGGCCAAACGACUCGACGUAUCGGAAUCGCGCGGACCAAAUACGUUUCAUACGUGUUCGAAGACUCGUGACGGUCGAACGGGAAUCCGCGAAAUGGAACGAACAAAUCGAACGGCCUCGAACGAUAGAACAAAAGGAAGCACUGGAGGGCUGGUUCGUUAGAGUGAAACGAAAUCGGCGCGAUCCAAGGAAGCUUAACGCUUUCAUUUCAUCGACGAGUCGUUGCCGCGAUUUUUAUUCCGACCGGCUGACUUUUCUCGAAUUAUCGACGAGCGAUCGGUAACAACCGAUGCGCGUGUGGUUCCUAUGAUUUCGAAGCGUACGAUGCCGCGAAACGUGUGAUUCGAUUUAAUCGCUGCGAAAGAAAUCGUAAAAAAAUAACUCGUUCGCUCGACGAUUCGUCUCGAUAAUUCGAUCCACGAAUUAUUUACGCGAGAACGAUCCGAGAAGCCCGAACGCUUCUCUUACGCUUCUAGCUACGUAUGUGCGUGAUUCUCGGCAAGACGAGACAGACUCACGGAGACGUUGCAAAGAUCGGGUUAAGUUUUCGGAGAUGCGGACCGAUCGGAUGGCGCAGCUACCCACGGCAACGUUCAUCUCAAGGGGUUUCGCGUUCGGCUACGAUUUAAUAAUCAAUUCUUAUCACAGAAGUUAUUUACACGAUACAAGUUUCGAUCGAUCCGAUCUCCAGCGAGAUCGAUGCUCGAUCAAACGAAUCGACUACUCGUUCGCGUUCCCUUUUUCUUCUUCUUCGAAGCACAGACAAGAAAUCUAGCCGUCCUAUCGGAAAGAGACUCGAGAAAAUUGCGCGUUUUUUUGCCCGUUGUCCUCGCAGACGUCUACUCCGCUUCUUUUAGCGUACAGAUCCUACGGCAGAGACACUUUGCUCUCCUUUCACGCGACGAUCUAUGCCACGUUCGACUCGAAGAAGAGUUAUCGUUGGCCAAGCUUCGAGCGAUAUUUCGAUACGUCGAUCGGCGAAACGUGAAAAAUCGUUCGAGUACACGCGCGUACGUGAUCGAUGAUCGAGUUGCGAUUUUUCGGAAAAUUUACCUAUAAUAUUAUUCGUUCCGCGAAUGUCGCUUACUUUUCUCAUUUUUUUUCUUUUCUAGUUUAAUGCAGGAGCAAAGUAUUUGCUACAACGCAAAGGCGCAUUUUUUUCGAAUACGCGACAUUGUUCUUUUCUUCUCUGAACGCCUAAUGUUCGCGACGAUGUCGAUUUUUUGUCUUUUUCAACGCGAUAACAAAUUCCUUGGAACGACCUUUCUCGCUUAAACUAUUUACGCAACUAAUUCGGCAUUUUCGUUCGUCGCGAUUCGAUCGACGGAAAACGAAACGAAAAAGCUUGUCGCCGUUUGUCGUCUUUCGUCUCGCAUAAUCAUGUUUCCCUUCCCUUGUUACGAUAAUGCUGUUCGUAAUAGUAGUAACGAUGAUGGCGAUGAUGACGAUGAUACAUAAUAAUGAUGAUGAUCUUGACGAUAAGAAGAAACAUGAUAAAAUAAUAACAACAAUAAUAAUAACAAUAGUAAUAACGUUCCAUAGCAUACGUUAGUAGCGUUAAUAGUAUCGUAAGUUAGCGAUAAUAGUGGUAAUAGUAGUAGCUGUAAUGACGACAUUAACGAUGACGUUUCUCUGGCAAAAAAUGACAACGCUUUCGCAUACCGAUGAAACGAUUACCGAAUGCGAAUAUCGUUAAUUCUUAUUCGUUACACGGACUUUAUAUUCGUCCUUUCAUUUUUUACAAUUCGAUACACGCGAUCGUUUGUCCUUCGAGACGAAGUCUAACGCGUGUUCGAUCCCUUAAAUGAUAAUACAAGUACAAGAUACUAGCUAGGCUGACUUAACGAGCAUUCGUGUUAAAAAUGCCUCUUCUACGCCGCGUUCGUUCCUCUUUAAUAUAAAAUCUUUCUGUUAAAUACGAUUAGGAUAAAUUGUUCACUAGAUUUUACGAUGCCAGCACCGCGUUUUUCCUCGAUGCCGAUUAUUUCUCCUCUUUCCUCCAUCUUAAUAUUUUCACCUGGUCUGCGUUUCUUUUUCAUUUGCAACCGUGCGCUGCCGAUGCUCCGAUCUUUCCGAGCGCCGAUCGACGAUCUCGACAUAAAUCGUUGGAAUAACGGAGCGAUCGUUGCCAAUUUCAAAACGAUUUCAGACCGAUAUCGCGGCUAUUCGCGUAUAUACGUGUACUUGUUUGGAGCGAACGAAACUACGAAUUAGAAAAUUACACCAGGUCGUAGAUCGGAGCACGUUUAUCGACCGAAACAUUCCCCUGGAAUCGGUAAAAUCGUCGUUCAAAUCAUCUCCUGUUCGAUUCGAUUUGUGUUUGAGUUUUAUUGAACGUUCAAUACGUAUUUUCGUUGUUCUCGAAACUGUCCUCCAGUCUCUCGUCGUACGUUUCUAGACAUUUUGGUUUUCCAAAAAGAAAAAGAAAAAAAAAAAAAAAGAAAAGAAGGAAGAAACUAUCACAAUUUCUUUCGCUUCGUCUUACGAAUAUAAAUCGCGCGCGCGUUUUACUUCGCGUGAAAUGAUUGUCGGCGACCACGAACAGCUUCGACGGAAAGAAAUUACUCGAGAUGAUAUUUUGGAAAAUUUUGCUCCAUUCCUCGUACGACGAUACGUAGCUUCGUUUCGCCGUUUCUUUUUUCUUUCAUUUACAACUGAUCGAACUAGGAGUCGAUUUUUCGAACGCAUCUCUCUAGAGAAGAUUACCAACGAUCCGUUUUAUACGUUUUAUUAAAUUUAUCGCGAGAUAACUUUUACGUGACACUAUGUUCGCAUCUUGGAAGUUUCUUGGUUUUCAUCGUUUUUCCUUUCUUUAAUUACAUGGCGUUAUAUUAAAUUUUAGAUUAAAUUCUUACUUAUAUUUAUCCUUACGAUUACCGUUACUGACACUGUUCGAGAUGCCUAUUUACGUCGCAUUGAGUCCCACGCCACGCAACCAUGUUUCUAUGUACAGAAUUAUUUGAGUAUUUCAUCGGAACACCUCGAAGUUUAUUCAGUUAUUAUUAUGUUUUCUUUUUAUUCGCGUCGUUUCAACGAUUAACUCUUUCGUUCCGUACAGCCUCGCAACUGGAAAAAUAGAGUGGGCUUCGAUAGUUUUAAGCAAAGGACUUGGCUGUUUCUUUGUGCGAUACGAAGAUCAAUGACUGUACUUCUGCAUCCUGUCGUCUUAUUUCUCAAUCUCUGAUCGAUCUUUUUUUCCCGUUAACGUAAUCGACGCAAUUGCGCAAAACGAUUCUGUAUUUACGAUUAUUAUUAUUUCUUGCGUAUGUUUCGUGUGAAUAUUGUUAACUUUACAUUCGUUGUACGAUACGAGGAGUGCAACUGCCGUACCUCCUAAUUUUUUCUUAUCGCCUUUCCCAUUAAUCUGUUCGAUCUUGUACACCAUAUCCUCCUAAAACAUUCGAAUUCUCCUUGAAAAGUGACAAAAUUAGUCGUAACCUAAUAUGUUUCUCGAUAUCAGUUUCACGGUCCUAAUUUAAUUCUCCUGUGCGGAUUACUUACGACGAGAUUGGUAAUUAGAAUUAUAACGAUAAGAUGGGUAAUCAUAAUCACCCAUAGAGUAAAAAGGGAUUAACACGAUUAACGCGAUAUUCCUGUUCCGUGCAGAUACGCGCCGAAUCUCGUCAGAAUAUUAAACGUAUCCGUUUACAACGUGUUACGUUUUAUUAUGUAUUAAACAUUACAUAUUAAUUAAAUAUUAAAUACACGAAUGCGUGGCUAAAAUGUAGAAACUUUGCAUAGUAGAAAUAUCAUCGAGAUAUAUAUAUAUAUAUAGAUAGAUAUAUCGUCCAUCUUCCUUCGUUAAUUCCGUUUUAAUAAUAUGCAAAAGGGCUGAAAUAUAUCGCAAGACCACGUAAUUUACGUUAAUUUGAGAAUUCGCUCGAGUAUGCAGCGAUUAACGUGUCCGGUAUCAAUGUGCGUUAUCGGUAUGUUAGAAAUACGGCACAGGUGCUUUUCGUACGUUCAGUUGGGCGUUGCAGCAAUUUUAAAGUCUCGUUCAUCAAAUUGGCGAAGAUGCUUGAAUUCGAGUACGUGUCUUCCAGUUAGCCUUGUUUAAUACGACUCUUUCGUCGCAGUUUAAGACAGUAUACCUACAGUAACAUACUUAUACCGUUCAUAGCAGGCAACGUAUUUUAAAAUAAAUUCAAUAGGUCGAGUUUCCGUCUUUGUAUUGGACGAUACACCGUGAAAUCCAGCCAUUGCUUUUACACCGAAGUUUUCGCCAUUCAAUAAUGAGGGAUCCGCGCGUAGAAAAGCGCGUACAACCACCGCGACAUUGAAUUCCUACGUUUCGUCGAGCUUUCACUAGGAUUACGCACCAGACCGACAAACGUCUGUUCGCACAACCCAUUGUUCCGAGCCACGGUCGCGAGAGACACCUAGCGCAACUUCCGCUUUGUCGCUAACGAUCGACGAAAUGGCUGUCUUUUCUUUCAUUUUCUCCCGGAUUGUACAUUCGUAACGCGUUGAAUUCGAGAACGUAAUUAGAGAUUUCGAAUUCCUGGAAAUACCAGUCGAAAGCUACUUGAGCUAUUGAAUUUAACAAGCGGUAGAAUCACACUUUACUGAUCCUUGCCUGGGAUACAAAGUACGAGAACCGAUUGAAUUUUUCCUCGAUUUUAGAAAAUUGUAGUUGAAUCAGAAUUAAAAGUAAAUAAUAGAAAGAACGAAUGAAAAGGUUUUCACUUUCGGAAGGAAAAGUAUUUUGCUAUCAUCGUGCCGAAAGUUGCAACAUCAACCUCUCUGAUUAUAUUCGAAAGCCACCGUAAUACGUUUGACGCGAAUGUUAGCUAACACGGAAAGUAAUACUAGCCAACGUGGGAAGAGCGUAAGCAAACAAUUCGAACAAGAACGUUUCUCGAGGAACAGUUUUCGAGUGGCCAGAGUACAGUCAUUGAGAACUUCCGUAUGAUCGGAGAACGCAAAUCGAUAGCAGGUUAAUCGAGUGAUCGAUUACGCGAUCAAUGACGUAUCUCUGUCAGAUCUUAGUCAUAGCUCGAUGCGGAACCCUUUGUCGCGGACAUAUCGAAGAUCUUUCAAGAAUUCGGAUUCGUGUCUGUACGGAAAACAGGGGCUGUCCAACUUGGCAGUUUUGUCCUCUAUACUUUGAUUCCGCCACGAUUUCCAUCGAAUUUUAUUCCAUUCGACCAUCGGUUAUUCCCCAUUAAGUUAUUUUAGAAGGCAAAUUUUUUCGUUAACGCAUGAUCGAAUUAAUUACGGCAUCGAUACCGAGAAUUGCUAUUAAACGCCAUACGAUGAGUAGUAUCCUGUCUGAUUUUCAUCUUUCUUUUAGAAAGCUCCGUCUUCUUAAAACACGUAACAAACACGUGUAGUUCAUAUACAUAUUUAUAGUUCGUAACAUUUACAGUCCUACGCGAAAUACAGCUUACGUUUCUACCUGUAGAGAGGUUGGACGCCCCCUGUAUCGAGUUUUCUUGGUUUUUAUUUGGCAGUUAUUUAAAGACCGUAUCAGUUCCACGGGAGACCCUUAGUGGCGCGAUAAUGUUGACGAUUCGAUCGUAACGCCCGCACACAAAGCGAUUAUCAUUAUCAUUAUCAUUAUUACCAUUAUUAUUGUUAUUAUUAUUAUUAUUAUUAUUAUCACUAUUACUAUUAUUAUUACUAUUCAUUUAUUAACAUAUGUACG